rnacentral:lncRNA from 1 species
CUGUGAACCAACAUAGCACGACGUUGUCUACCUUUAUAUGAUUCAGUCUAAACUAUGUGGAAAGGUUCCUAGUUUAAUUGAUGUGGUCCCCUGAUUGUUGUUGACAACUACAGAUACACAGUCCUAGCUAUGUGGAUGGCAAAAGCAGCCCCAUGUAGGUCAUCUGAGGUGGCGUUCAGGUGGUGAAGAUGGGGAUUGGUUGUGCAGACAAAAGUUGUGCCUGAGUCUCUUCCUGUCCUUUGCUCUCCUCUUGUUGAUUCUGCAAGGAUGUCUCUGGUCUCGAGACAUGCUGUGGCUCAUAUGGUCACCUGUGGCCCUCCAGACUUCUAUCACCCCCAGGCUCAUUCCGAAGACCACAAUGCCAGUGGUUAGAGGGCAUCUGCAUCUGACCCAUAGGAGAAGAAGAGGAUUACUCCCAGUCUGGGUGAGGUUGGGGAAGAACGAUGUGAGCAGAUCUGAACUGGAGAGCCAAAAUAGUCAUCGACUUU